rnacentral:rRNA from 1 species
CCUACGGGCGGCAGCAGUGGGGAAUAUUGCACAAUGGGGGAAACCCUGAUGCAGCGACGCCGCGUGAGUGAAGAAGUAAUUCGUUAUGUAAAGCUCUAUCAGCAGGGAAGAAAAUGACGGUACCUGAGUAAGAAGCCCCGGCUAACUACGUGCCAGCAGCCGCGGUAAUACGUAGGGGGCAAGCGGUAUCCGGAUUUACUGGGUGGAAAGGGAGCGUAGACGGCAGUGCAAGUCUGGAGUGAAAGGCGGGGGCUCAACCCCCGGACUGCUCUGGAAACUGUACGGCUGGAGUGCAGGAGAGGUAAGUGGAAUUCCUAGUGUAGCGGUGAAAUGCGUAGAUAUUAGGAGGAACACCAGUGGCGAAGGCGGCUUACUGGACUGUAACUGACGUUGAGGCUCGAAAGCGUGGGGAGCAAACAGGAUUAGAUACCCUUGUAGUC